rnacentral:rRNA from 1 species
UACGGAGGGUGCAAGCGUUAUCCGGAUUCACUGGGUUUAAAGGGUGCGUAGGUGGGUUGGUAAGUCAGUGGUGAAAUCCCCGAGCUUAACUUGGGAACUGCCAUUGAUACUAUCAGUCUUGAAUACCGUGGAGGUUAGCGGAAUAUGUCAUGUAGCGGUGAAAUGCUUAGAUAUGACAUAGAACACCAAUUGCGAAGGCAGCUGGCUACACGAAUAUUGACACUGAGGCACGAAAGCGUGGGGAGCAAACAGG